rnacentral:rRNA from 1 species
UGGACAGAAAGACCCUAUGAAGCUUGACUGUAGCUUGGAAUUGGGUUCGGGCUCUUCUUGCGCAGCCUAGGUGGGAGGCUAUGAAGGUUUUCUUUCGGGAAAACUGGAGCCAACAGUGAGAGACCACUCUGGAGGAGCUAGAAUUCUAAUGGCGUUCCUUGAAGCAGGACGCUUGACAGUUUCAGGUGGGCAGUAGGACGGGGGCGGUCACCUCCUAAAAGGUAACGGAGGUGUGCAAAGGUCCCUCAGGCUGGACGCCAUCAGCCGUAGACUGUAAAGAGAGAAGGGAGCUCUGUGGCUCCCUACACUUCUUUCAGGGCCUUCAUACCCUCCCACCUUGGCUGCGCAAGAAGAGCACGAACCAUAAUCCCAAAGCCAAAAACCCCG